CCUAAACUUCAAUUCUCUUCCCCAAUUCAGAGAGAAGUGCGACAAGCACACGAUUCUCCAAUGAGUUCAGUGUUCCGUCACUCAACCUCUCCGGUCGAAGUGCCCCAAUUGCCAGUUUUGCAUCAUCUGGGUCUUCCUCGGGGCUUAAUGCCUUGUCCGAUUGAAGUUCAUCAACGGCUAGCUCGCCGCAUUCAGAUAAGGGCGAUAGAGGUGUCAUUGAUUGGUUUGCGAAGAGGGAUAGAGCUGCCAGGGAAUUAGAGGUGGAUGGGGAUUGAAUUAGUGCGUCAUUGUGGAUGGAAUGAACUGGAACAUGUAAGCAUGUUGUUGUAAUAUGUAUAUAAGUAUAUUGCUGCAAAUGAUUUUCUUGAAAAAUUGUGCAUUUUUUUUAUGAGUAUAUUUGAAUGGUUCUGCCUGAACUGGGGUGCAUUGUAUGUUAUGUAUGCAGUUGUGUAUGCAUGAUUUUCUUGAAAAAUGGUGCAUUUUGUUUUAUGAGUAUAUUUGAAUGGUUUUGCCUAAACUGGUGCAAUUUGUGUUAUGUAUGCAGAUGUGUAUGAUAUGUUGGAGUGCUUGCUUUAAGCCGACUGCCACAAACUGUUGCGGCAAUGUAUAUUGUGAACGGUGCAUUUGUUGGAAGGUUCAAAAGACUAAGGAGUGUCAUUCUUGUCAUAAGAGGCUAAGAAUGAAGAAGUUGGUUAGACUUUUUGUUAAUGACAUAGUCAUAGUCAGUAAUUUUUUAAUGUAUUACAGUAAUAAGAUUAGAGUUUAGUUUGCUAAUUUUGUGAUAUAUUGGCAGAGAUGUGAGGCUUGUGAUGAGUGGAUGCCGUUUGUUGCUCCGGUUGCCACAACUACUUGUGUUCAUGUCUUUUGUAUGCAUUGUCUAGGCGACAAUUGUCUCAUCUGUGGUAGGAGGCUUCAUGGGCGAGAUAUUUUGGACCUACACUUGGUAAGUUUCUACUAAACAAAAACAUAGGAUAAAUCUUUUAUUUUAAAUACUCUUUGUGUAAGAAUUGUACAUAAUUGCUAUGCUGAUAUGAAGGUUUGACUACAUACCUAAUAACUAAAGUAUCAACCAUCGUGAUGAGAACUCAAUAGUAUUUCAAAGUGACUUGUAUUACAUGGUGUGGUAGAAGUUAAUAAAGAUUUCUUAUGUUGUAUGGUGCUGAGGCAAGUGUGAGGUUAUGUAUGCACAUAAACAUGUAGGUUAUGUAUCAACCAUCAAGAUCCUAUGACACAUAUCUAUAUGUUUAUGUGCAUACAUAACCUCACACUUGUCUCAACACCAUACAACAUAGAAGUUUUUAUUAACUUCUACCACACCAUGUAAUACAAAUCAUUUUGAAAUACUAUUGAGUUCUCAUCACGAUAGUUGAUAACUUAGUUAUUAGGUAUGCAAUCAAACUUUCAUAUCAACUUUUAAGCCGGCUACUUUAGUAUAUGUUAAAUUGGUUGAUUGUUCAGAAAUGAUUUGUUGACGCACAACACAACCUUUUUUUUCGUCCAAAUGGAGUUCUUUAAAGAAAGCAAAUUAACAAUCCCUUCAUCCAAAUCCCUACAGUUGAUACAGAGGCAAUUCUUUUCUCAAUAAAUUGAUUUUACGAUGUGAUAUUUUUCUUAGAAACAAAUUUGUCGGUCCAAAUUACAUAUAACUGCUACUUUAGGUUGGGCUUUUCUUUUUCUUUUGGCCUUCCAAUUAAAAAUCAAUUUUGAAGGGCCCAAUCCAUUUUUUGGUCUAGACUAUAUAGUCUUAAAACCCUACGCCUCAAAUCCCUUCGUCUCAUGCCUAAACUUCAAUUCUCUUCCCCAAUUCAGAGAGAAGCGCGACAAGCACACAAUUCUCCAAUGAGUUCCGUCACUCAACCUCUCCGGUCGAAGUGCCCCAAUUGCCAGUUUUGCAUCAUCUGGGUCCUCCUUGAAGCUUAAUGCCUUGUCUGAUUGAAGUUCGUUAACGGCUAGCUCGCCGCAUUCAGAUAAGGGCGAUAGAGGUGUCAGGGAUUGGUUUGCGAAGAG
rnacentral:lncRNA from 1 species